GCUCCUUUGGUGUUUGUGUUGGCCCGACUUCUAUGUUUCAAAUUAUAUCGCAGCUUACCCUUUAUUUAUUUUCUUGUUUGAAAAAGAGUUUUCCCCUGUUUAGGCACUUGAAAAGGAGAUAGUUUUGCUUGGCAUAUUCUCUUUACUAAAAAAUUUGAAAGGAUAAUUUACUUUCAGUUUACAUAAUUACACUAAUUUUUCAAAUUGAUUCGUUCACCAUGGGUUGCGCUAGUAUGCGUUGUUAUGUUCUUAACGGAAGAUUUGGUCUAUUCACGAUUGGUCGAACGAUUAUGAGACCACCUAAAUAAUUUAUGGAGCUGGAUGCUGGUUGACAACGUGUUUUAGUUGCCACUCUUUGCUGUGAAUUCUGUAUUGGUAAGACAUGUCUCCUUGCAUUUGAAGAGAAAACAAUUUCCACCAUAUGAUUUAAUUGAAAUCCUGAGAAUUUGUCAAGACAUUUGAUUGAAUUAUGCUUUGUUUAUAUCUUCAUUAUCUACUUAAAUUUGGCUACCAGCUUUAAAAUAAUAUAGUGAAUGAAUUUAUUAGAUUGGAAAUUCAACUCUGUAUGGGUUAGAAAUUCUAUUUUUUAUACCUUUUUUUAUUUGAAAUGCUUAAUUAUUCUGUUUAAUAGAACUUAUUGAGAAAAUGAAUUGUGAUCUUUCAUAUUUUUUUACUACCUUUUCAUUUUCCAAUAAUAUUUGCUGUUUUAUAGUUUAGGGAAAUUUAGCUUCUCUUGCAUUAAUUAAAUGCUUCUUUUUUUACAAGUAUUUUACAUAUGAAAUGCUAGUUAACAACAGAUUGGAAAGUGGUUAUUUUAAAUGUACAGGAAAUGUAAGUACACAGCUGCAAGUGUAAGUAUGCGGUUUAUAAUUGUUUCACGUUAUUCUUCUUCAGGAUAAUCAAGGCAUUUUUUGAGAAACUCUUGGAUUGUACAUUUAAGUCUAUUCUUAAUCUACUACUUCAAUUUCCUAGGUUUAGGUCUAUCUGUACUGAACUCGCAUUGUAGGAUCACUGCUACUUGUACUGGGCAAAUGAUAAAACUUGGAACAAUUAUCUGCAAAUGGAACAUUUUUUGUUUUUCUUUUCCAAAAUAUUUUCAGAUGAACUUAUUAUUGAAUAUUUCAAUAUAAAGGUUGAAAUUAUUAACUAUCAGACAGCUUUUUGGGAUCUCCAGCAAUUGGCCCACAUCCUGGUUUUCUUAGACUCACAGUUGGUGCAUGGUAGUUUUUGAUUGUUCUGGUGUUGAUAAUGACCAAAUGAAGGCGAAGGAUUAUAAAUACUAGAUUUUGUUGUGUACUUACUGAUAUAUGAUGGCUCUAGUCUCUACAUUAUCAACAGGUUCAGCAAGUAAUAUAUGAAACAUUUGGUUGAUUUCAUGCGCUCUGGAUUGGGUUUCAUGUUUUGGGUCUUUAUUUGAUGGCCUCUAAACAAUUAUAGAAGGUAUUUGUUGCAAGAUUAUGUUGGGAGAUUCUUAGCCAGAUCAGCAUCAAUUACCUGAUGGAAGACGCUUUACUUCUCUUAAUGGCUCAUCAGUGGGAAAUAUCUCAGUGUCAGUUGCUUAUGUUUUCUUUUGCUCCAGAAGAGAUCUAUUACAAGUUUCCCAUCAUCUAUUUAUUGUAUAUUCAAAGGACUCUCAGUGAUCUAAGAUCCUUGCAUGGGUAUUGAUUUAUUAUCUUAAUCAUCUACUUUGUUUGUUCCAUGGUCCUUUGGAAUUUUCGGGAAGCCAGUAUUAAUCAUUAUUGAAUUUAUCAUGUUUCUCAUGCGGAUGGUCGACGUGAUCUUCGAAGUGCAGACUUAAGAGAUAAACUUGACAGAAGGUAUUCUCCUCAUAGGAGGGUAUCUCCUGGCAGAGUUCCAAGGGCUCAACAUUCUUUUCGCUAU